rnacentral:rRNA from 1 species
CCUCGGAUCAGGUAGGGAUACCCGCUGAACUUAAGCAUAUCAAUAAGCGGAGGAAAAGAAACCAACCGGGAUUGCCUCAGUAACGGCGAGUGAAGCGGCAAGAGCUCAAAUUUGAAAGCUGGCUCCUUCGGGGUCCGCAUUGUAAUUUGCAGAGGAUGCUUCGGGCGCAGCCCCCGUCUAAGUGCCCUGGAAUGGGCCGUCGGAGAGGGUGAGAAUCCCGUCUGGGAUGGGGUGCCUGUGUCCGUGUGAAGCUCCUUCGACGAGUCGAGUUGUUUGGGAAUGCAGCUCUAAAUGGGUGGUAAAUUUCAUCUAAAGCUAAAUAUUGGCCGGAGACCGAUAGCGCACAAGUAGAGUGAUCGAAAGAUGAAAAGCACUUUGAAAAGAGAGUUAAACAGCACGUGAAAUUGUUGAAAGGGAAGCGCUUGCGACCAGACUCGCUCGCGGGGUUCAGCCGGCAUUCGUGCCGGUGUACUUCCCCGUGGGCGGGCCAGCGUCGGUUUGGGCGGCCGGUCAAAGGCCUCCGGAAUGUAGCGCCCUUCGGGGCGCCUUAUAGCCGGGGGUGCAAUGCGGCCAGCCUGGACCGAGGAACGCGCUUCGGCUCGGACGCUGGCAUAAUGGUCGCAAACGACC